UACGAAGGGGGCUAGCGUUGCUCGGAAUCACUGGGCGUAAAGCGCACGUAGGCGGCUUACUAAGUCAGGGGUGAAAUCCUGGAGCUCAACUCCAGAACUGCCUUUGAUACUGGUGAGCUUGAGUCCGGAAGAGGUGAGUGGAACUGCGAGUGUAGAGGUGAAAUUCGUAGAUAUUCGCAAGAACACCAGUGGCGAAGGCGGCUCACUGGCCCGAUACUGACGCUGAGGCACGAAAGCGUGGGGAGCAAACAGG
rnacentral:rRNA from 1 species